GAUGAACGCUGGCGGCGUGCCUAAUACAUGCAAGUCGAGCGAACAGACGAGGAUCUUGCUCCUCUGACGUUAGCGGCGGACGGGUGAGUAACACGUGGAUAACCUACCUAUAAGACUGGGAUAACUUCGGGAAACCGGAGCUAAUCCCGUAUAAUCUCUUGAACCGCAUGGUUCAAUAGUGAAAGACGGUUUUGCUGUCUCUUCUAGCUGCUUCCGCGCCGCAUUAGGUAGUUGUUAAGGUAACGGCUUACCAAGGCAACGAUGCGUAGACGACCUGAGAGGGUGAUAGGCCACACGGGAAGGGAGACACGGUCCAGACUCCUAAGGGAGGCAGCAGUAGGGAAUCGUCCGCAAUGGGCGAAAGCAUGACGGAGCAACGGCGAGUGAGUGAUGAAGGUCUUCGGAUCGUAAAAAUCGGUUAUUAGGGAAGAACAAAUGUGUAAGUAAAUAUGCACGUCUUGACGGUAACGAAUCAGAAAGCCACGGCUAACUACGUG
rnacentral:rRNA from 1 species